rnacentral:tRNA from 1 species
GAGCGAUGGCAGAGUGGUCGAACGCGGCGGUCUUGAAAACCGUUAUACCCUUUCGGGUAUCGGGGGUUCAAAUCCCUCUCGCUC